GAAAUGCGAUACCUGGUGUGAAUUGCAGAAUCCCGCGAACCAUCGAGUCUUUGAACGCAAGUUGCGCCCGAGGCCACUUGGCCGAGGGCACGCCUGCCUGGGCGUCACGCCAAACACGCUCUCACACCUCAUCGGGUUGUGGGAUGCGGCAUGUGGCCCCCCGUCUAGCAAUAGGCGGUGGGCCAAAGAUGCGGCUGCCGGCGUAUCGUGUCGGACACAGCGCGUGGUGGGCGAACUCGCUUUACUUACCGCAGUGCGUCCGACCUAUAGCCGGCGUGAUGGCCUUAACGACCCUAGGAACGGAGUGCUUGAUGCUCCGACCGCGACCCCAGGUCAGGCGGGACUACCCGCUGAAUUUAA
rnacentral:ncRNA from 2 species